AUACGGGGCUGGGCGUGGGGCGGCUGGGCCCGGGGCGGGCAGGGGGCGCGAGGGUGCCCGCGGCCGCAGCUGAAGUUGGACCGAGAGCCGGCGACGACCCCGCGCCGGGGUCGCAGGGUACCGAUGUGCGGAGUUCCUGUUGCCAAGCCGAAGGUGGCCCUGGGCAGGCACAGGUGUUGUGGUCAUAUCUUGAACCAACAGGACCAUCCUCCUGAGGGCCACCUCUGGGGACUUCCUCCUGGAAGAGAGUGACGGAUUUGGUGCUUCUGUGUGUUUCUGCUGCUUCAGUGGGGCCACUGCAGGAAUCGGCGCAUGGACCCUCCAGCGGCCUGUCUGCUGAGCCUGCCUUCUGAAGUCCACUGUGAAAAUCAGGACCAGGGCGAGUCCGAGCCUACAGGCCCUGUCCCCCCUCCCCAGGUCUGCAGGAGUUGAGGGCUGCACCCGCUCGCUGGAGAGGGAGAGGCCAGAUUUAGUGGACGCCUGGCAUGGACUCGAACUGGUCUUUAGAAGCUCCCUGUCCUGACGGGGUUGCCUGUCACCACUGCGUACCGAGGCUUGGCAGGACCUGCACCUGGGAAAGGCUGUGUGUGGCCUUGGGGUCCACACCUGCAGAGCUGACUUACUGCCAGACAGUGACUUACUGUGGGCCACGCUCAGUGAACCGGGGUGUCCUCAGCUGGCCCUACAGAGCACUUCUGUGCUGGGGAUGAGUAGGAACUCUGGGCGAGAAGGGCGCCAGCACUGCCCCUCGAUACAGCCUGGCUCUGCCCUCUGCCCAUACUUAUACCAGGUGGGAUCUCUGCCCUGCAUCGCCUGGGGAUUGGCUGGACUUGGGUCCGCCCUGCUGUGGAACUGUAUGAUUUUAGGGAGCCCAGCCUUUCCUCACGUCAGCACAGUUCACAAUAUAGUUUUCAAAGUAUAGUUUAAAACUCAAAAGUAAACUUUUCAGCAACUCAAAGGUUUGCUGAGUGAUCUGAAGCAUUCUGGCAACUUUUUGGGGCCAUGGGAUUUGGUUCACCUGAAACAGCCAGUGAGACGCCGGGCGCGGUGGCUCACGCCCGUAAUCCCAGUGCUUCAGGAGGCGGAGGCAGGUGAUCGAUCACUUGAGAUCAGGAGUUCAAGACCAGCCUGGGCAACGUGGCGAAACCCCGUCUCUACUAAAAAUACAAAAAUUAGCUGGGCAUGGUGGUGGGCACCUGUAAUCCCAGCUACUUGGAAGGCUGAGGCAAGAGAAUCACUUGAACCUGGGAGGUGAAGAUUGCAGCGAGACAAGAUUGUGCCACUGCACUCCAGUCUGAGUGGCAAGAGAGACUCUGUCUCAAAAAAUAUAAAAUGAAACAGCCAGUGAGGAGGAAGGCUCCCCGCCUUCCCCACGCCGGAACACAGCGGCUGCUGGGACACCCUCUUGGUGGGGAAGAAGGCCGGUUAGCUUCAUCAGAGCUAGCAGCAGCAGACCAGGGACGGGCACCUAGGCAGUGGCCUCAAAAGGAACAGGUGUUCCUCAAAAACACAAAGGAACAGCGCGUUGCGUGCUCUGCCAACUCCAUGCCUGCUUCCCAUUGGGGGGCUGGGGCAUGUGGGGCAGAGCUCAUGACCCCCGGGAGGACAUGGGGGUGGGCUCCGGAUGGCACCUGGUAUUGCCCCCUGCUGGCCUGUGUGACGGUGUGGAGGGCUGGUCACAGAGGUACAACCAUCCCUCCAGAAUGUCAGUGGGGGCUGUGGAUGGAGGAGUAGGCCCCUCAGACCCCAGGUCUGCUGCCCAGGCAGAACUCACUUGGCCUAUGCAUUCCAGGCUCCACCCCUUGUGCCCCUGGGCUUAGCUCCAUCUGGGGCCACAGGUCAGGCAGGUCCAGGCCCCCAAGGACCUCCCAGGGAUAGGCGACUGUGAGCCGGGCAGACAGGAGUGAGGUCAGGUGGGGGUUCCGGCUUGCUGACGCCAGCGUUUGGAGGCUUCCGCUGCUGCCUGGCCUCCCUGCAUUCCCUGUUCCCUGCCUCAGGCAGGAAAUAACCAAGCUGAGUUGCACCUGCACAGCAGUGAGCUCCUGGUGGUCCUGGCCUCUAGGAAGCCCUGUGGAUGGCUUCCCUGCCCAAGUUCAGGACUUCCUCGUUCCCUUUGUCUGCUCCAGAGAAAGGGGGCAGCACCAGACCCAGAUCCAGGGCCACCCAAGAGAAAGCUGAGUCCAUCCCAAACUUGCCCACUCUCAGAGCACAAAGACCCCAUGAUCUAGGGCAAGCUUGUCCAACUGUCGGCCCAUGGAGUGGCUUUGAAUGCAGCCCAACGCAAAUCUAAACUUUCUUAAACAUUG